UACGUAGGGGGCAAGCGUUGUCCGGAUUUAUUGGGCGUAAAGCGCUCGCAGGUGGUCCGAUGCGUCGUGCGUGAAAGACCCCGGCUCAACUGGGGGGCGUCGUGCGAUACGGUCGGACUGGAGGCCAGUAGGGGGAUGCGGAAUUCCGGGUGUAGUGGUGGAAUGCGCAGAUAUCAGGAGGAACACCGGUGGCGAAGGCGGGUCUCUGGGCAACAACUGAUGCUGAGGAGCGAAAGCGUGGGGAGCGAACAGG
rnacentral:rRNA from 1 species